GAGACAUCUGAAAGCCCCUGUGGAAGGCUGAACAAUGAUGCCAGGGCAUCAGCUGUCAGCUCUAGAACCUGUGAACGGCCCUAUUUGGUAAAAAGGUCAUGGCAGAUGUGAUUAAGUUAAGGGUUUUGAGAUGGGAGAUUAUCCUGGACUUUUCCAAUGUGCCCUAAACACCAGCACAAGUCAUAAGACAGAUGCAGAGGGAAAUCAGAACCCACAGAAGAGCAGGAGGCACCGGGUCCACAGAGGCCGUGACUGGAGGGAUGCGACUGAAAGUCGAGGGGUACCAGCAGCCACCAGACGCUACAAGAUGGUAAGGACAGACUCUCCCUAGAGCCUCGAAGGGAGCGUGGCCCAGCCAACACUGCAACUUCGGCCCAGGGACACUGAUCUCAGAGUUCUGGCCUCCUCAGCUCUGAGAGAAUCAAUUUCUGUUCUUUGAAUCCACCAGGUUUUUGUCAUUUGUGACAGCGGCCUCAGGAAAGGAAUCCAGCUCUAACCCCCACCAGGCGCUGGAGAAACACAACACAGAGGAGCACAUUGUGGCCCUAUGGAGAAGGAGGUUGACGAGAAGUACAACCCCACCUGGCACAGCCUUGUGGGGAGGACCUUCAGGUUAUGUGACACAGGAACCCACACACUUCAUCUUCAUCUGCUUGGGCCAGUGACCAUUCUGCUGUUCAAAUCUGGGUAAAAGCAAGGAUGUGCCACACACCCACUGAUCCAUCCAAAAACAAGGACUGCAGCCUAUAUUCCAAAUACCAGGGACUGGAGUCUUCUGCCUCGCCUGAGGGAGCAACCUCGAUCUUUGAACCUUUGUCACGUUGUUUCAUACAGGGCAUGCUCCUUCCGAAUUUGUUGUGGUUAAAAAGCAACUAGCAAACAGCUUAUGUUUGUCUUUAUUUUCACUGAGAAAGAAGAGACUUCACUACUUCAACAAGAGGGUCCAUCUUGUCAGGACUUGCUGUUAUGGGAGAAAAUCGUGACAGAUCACUUGUGCACUUAUCCUUCUCAUGACCACUGUGACAUGCCACACCUGCUUCUGCUGCAGGCAUGAACAGCAGAGGAGGCCCAUGAGAAUGUGCAUGAAGACUGCACAGCAAAGCUAUGGCUGCAAAUACCUCCCCCAAGCAUCUCCAGGGGUCCCGCGAUAUCUAACAGGAAUCCAGAACACUCCCCCCGUAUCAGAUGUGAAAGCACUGCUUUACCUGACUACUACAAAAGUGCAACUCUGUUCCUAGGGUCCCCCACCAACCAUGCUGAGCCCCCCAUCAUGACUGGGCUUUGUCUGCCUUGAAGCCUCAAAUCUCAUGUGUCAGCCAACACAUUUGCAAUUGUAUAUAACCAAGAACUCAGCUCAAGCUGGAAGAAAUAAACAAGGGCCACAGUUGGAGCAAUCCAGAAGGUCAGGCUUAGGGGUCCUUGGACCCAUUGUGGACCAAGUUCGCAAGAACCCAGGAUAUUUUCACCAGUGUCUGAUUUAUGCCCAGAUCCCCUUCUUUACAAAAGUGAGAGGGCUGCUGCAAUCCUGGGGCAACAUUGUUUUUGUACCUUUCAAGACAAUAAGAGCUUUUAUUUCUCCAACGACUGAACAAACAUACUGAGCUUCACAGUCAUGGAAGUUUCCACCACAACCACCUUCCCCUCAACCCGAUCAUCAUUUUGGUGAAUGGAAUCUCCCCUCUAGUUGCUGGGGCCUUGGGUAGGGGUACAACCUCGAACACUCUCUGAGGUCAGGUGUGUGGGUCAAGCAUCCGACGCCGGAGCGGGAAGUGAGGUCAUUCCCACCUGAACAGUGUGUCUGAGAGAGGGGGGUUGGGUAAAGGACAGCGUCCCAGAUACAGACAUCAAUAGUUGUGUUGUAAUCAGGAUCAUAGCAGACAAGCUUCCAGAAUCAAAUGUUGUGCAAUCACCAAGGAGCCAUAUAAACAGUGGCUCUCCCCACUUGCAGCAGCCUCACUGGGUCCCAGUCUCAGAGCAGCUCCUCCAUCUCUUCCCACCACCCAGCAUCCAGCUGGCGUUUACCAUGCGGGGCCUCUGCUUCAUGCUCCUGACCUGCUUCAUCCUUUUUCCUCACUUUGCCACAGCCCAGGUCCAGGUUGUAGACUCAGAGAAGGAGUGCAAUAAAAGAGAGGCCGAGUGUAAAUGGUUUUACUGCCCAGAAAAUCAUGACCGUCUUGGCACCUGUUGGUUUGGGAUAAAGAAAUGCUGUCUGCGCCAGGAAUGAGCUGAAGAACAUGGGAGGACAAGGAGCCCGGAGAAUGAAAUAAAGGCCUGACUGUAACUCUGAAA